GCGUUAUUGAUGACCAAGCUCGCGGUGA
rnacentral:piRNA from 1 species